AGUGAACGCUGGCGGCGUGCUUAACACAUGCAAGUCGAACGAGAACGGGUUAUAGCUUGCUAUAAUUGUCAGCUAAGUGGCGCACGGGUGAGUAAUGUAUAGGUAAUAUGCCUCUUACUAAGGGAUAACAAAUGGAAACGUUUGCUAAUACCUUAUACUCCUUAUUAACAUAAGUUAAUAAGGGAAAGAUUUAUUGGUAAGAGAUUAGCCUGUAUUGUAUCAGUUAGUUGGUGGGGUAAUGGCUUACCAAGACUAUGACACAUAACUGGUUUGAGAGGAUGAUCAGUCACACUGGAACUGAGACACGGUCCAGACUCCUACGGGAGGCAGCAGUGGGGAAUAUUGCACAAUGGACGAAAGUCUGAUGCAGCAACGCCGCGUGGAGGAUGACACAUUUCGGUGCGUAAACUCCUUUUAUAUGAGAAGAUAAUGGCGGUAUUAUACGAAUAAGCACCGGCUAACUCCGUGCCAGCAGCCGCGGUAA
rnacentral:rRNA from 1 species